rnacentral:rRNA from 1 species
AGAGUUUGAUCAUGGCUCAGGAUGAACGCUAGCGGCAGGCUUAACACAUGCAAGUCGAGGGGUAGGGUAGCAAUACCUGAGACCGGCGCACGGGUGCGUAACGCGUAUGCAAUCUACCUUGUACAGGGGGAUAGCCCAGAGAAAUUUGGAUUAAUACCCCAUAGUAUUUUCAAAUGGCAUCAUUUGAUUAUUAAAGUUCCAACGGUACAAGAUGAGCAUACGUCCCAUUAGCUAGUUGGUGUGGUAACGGCAUACCAAGGCUACGAUGGGUAGGGGUCCUGAGAGGGAGAUCCCCCACACUGGUACUGAGACACGGACCAGACUCCUACGGGAGGCAGCAGUGAGGAAUAUUGGUCAAUGGGCGCAAGCCUGAACCAGCCAUGCCGCGUGCAGGAUGAAGCAUCUAUGGUGUGUAAACUGCUUUUGUACAGGAAGAAACACUACCUCGUGAGGUAGCUUGACGGUACUGUGAGAAUAAGGAUCGGCUAACUCCGUGCCAGCAGCCGCGGUAAUACGGAGGAUCCAAGCGUUAUCCGGAAUCAUUGGGUUUAAAGGGUCCGUAGGCGGUUUAAUAAGUCAGUGGUGAAAGCCCAUCGCUCAACGAUGGAACGGCCAUUGAUACUGUUAGACUUGAAUUAUUUGGAAGUAACUAGAAUAUGUAGUGUAGCGGUGAAAUGCUUAGAGAUUACAUGGAAUACCAAUUGCGAAGGCAGGUUACUACAAAUGGAUUGACGCUGAUGGACGAAAGCGUGGGUAGCGAACAGGAUUAGAUACCCUGGUAGUCCACGCCGUAAACGAUG